CAGUCGCCACGGGAACACGGAGGGUGCAAGCGUUAAUCGGAAUUACUGGGCGUAAAGCGCACGCAGGCGGUCUGACAAGUCAGAUGUGAAAUCCCCGGGCUUAACCUGGGAACUGCAUUUGAAACUGUCAGGCUGGAGUCUUGUAGAGGGGGGUAGAAUUCCAGGUGUAGCGGUGAAAUGCGUAGAGAUCUGGAGGAAUACCGGUGGCGAAGGCGGCCCCCUGGACAAAGACUGACGCUCAGGUGCGAAAGCGUGGGGAGCAAACAGGAUUAGAUACCCCAGUAGUCCCUGUCUCUUAUAC
rnacentral:rRNA from 1 species